GACUGAAGGAGAAGUCUCAAGUCGUCUCAAGUCUGCUGAAAUAUUCAAAUUUUUAAAAAACUAGUUCAAGUUCAAAUUUGUUAAUCUAUUUUAACUCAACUUUCUUUCUAUUGAAGUUUUACCUAUUUUAUUUUUGUUUUUAUUCUCAUUUAACUGACAAUGAAGAAACAACUUGAAGAUUUAAGAAUCAAACUAAACCAUAUCAGAAGUCUAAGAACUAGAAUGAAAAGUGUAGUGUUCGUAGUCGGUCCCCAGCCGAGCUUACUCAACAACGAAAAAGAGAACAGAUCAGAAACACACCACAACUAUACUGAUGAUGAGGGAUCAUCAGCAAUAACAACAUUCACCUCAACUUCAACGAAGACUUGUGAGAAAAUAUUAAGACUCAAGAGUGUCGUCACCAUAGUGUCAGUGCCAAACUCCAUAAAAAACAGACUCAAAUCUAAUCAAAAGAAAAAGUUAAGACUCAAAAAUGUGUUCAGUGUGGUUUCAUUGCCAAACUGUACAAAAUCAAAAGUUGAAUCGAAAAAGAAGAUCCAGUUCAGCAAACACAAGGAUUCUGAAAUUGAGUCUCGUCACAGUUUGUCAAGUUUGUGGUACCAGCAGGAGCGUCCAAAAGAUCGGCAAGGCAUUUGCGAAUUUAACGAGAACUGGCUAAGUUUCCCAGAUAAUGAAGAGAGUUUUCCUUCGCUGCGGAGUUUGUCGAUAAUGGCAAUACAGAAAAACUUUCUCACCUUGAAGUCCGACUUGAAAACGAUUCCAUUUUCACUCCAGUGGGAAGUGUAUUACAAAUCCGUUUAAUUCAUUUGGAGGGAGCAUCAAAAUUCUGAAUCUAAAGUCUCAAGUCGUUUCGAAACCCCUGCUUUAUAUGAGACAAUCGUUAAUCACCUGAUUGAAAGAAAUUCCAGCAUUAUCGUGUCGUUUUUAUUUGGAGGAAGCAUAAAAAUUCUGAAGUAAGUAUUUCGACGAAAGUUUUUUGUUCUCUUGCAUUUUAAUUAUUUAUUUUGUAUUUCUAUGUAGGGCCUAGUCUCAGGCAGUUUCGCACUAGUACCUGAACUAUUGCUUCCUAAACUGACUUGAAAAAUUACAACUUUGUAAAAUUUAUCUCUUUUCUCCCCCACGUCCUGGCCUCCAGAGAUUACGAAAUCUAAACGUGUGUUGUGCAGGAUGUGAGAAUCUUGGAUAGGUGGAGAAUGCGGCAUAUGAGGCAGAGAUCCUAGAUGGACUUUCCUUUCCUGGAGCAACAUCCAUGGACUCGUUCAGUUUCAAAAAUUGUUGCGUCAGCUGGUAAAAUAGAGUAGGAUAUCAC